rnacentral:rRNA from 1 species
UACGGAGGGUGCAAACGUUGCUCGGAAUUAUUGGGCGUAAAGCGCACGUAGGCGGCCGACUAAGUCGGGUGUGAAAGCCCUGGGCUCAACCCAGGAAGUGCACUCGAAACUGACCGGCUUGAAUAUGGAAGAGGGUUGCGGAAUUCCCGGUGUAGAGGUGAAAUUCGUAGAUAUCGGGAGGAACACCAGUGGCGAAGGCGGCAACCUGGGCCAAUAUUGACGCUGAGGAGCGAAAGCGUGGGGAGCGAACAGG